rnacentral:lncRNA from 1 species
AAAAAGAAAAAGCUGGAGCAGAGGUGGUGGCAGAGGAAAAGUUGGACAGUGAUCUGCCUGGUAUCGAGGUGGAUGAUACUGACAAAUUACAAGGGACACAAGGGAUUACCUAAAUGCUAAAAAACUGGAAAAGGAACUAAGGAUUUUAAAAAAAUGGAGUGAAGGAUGUUGUUGGUCCAAGUGAGCCAGCUGCACAACCUGGGAUUGUAAUGGAUGUUACGAAAAAGAAUGAUGUUUU